AUUUGACGGCCACGCCCUUCGCGGGCCUGGGUUUUAGGGGAUUGUAGUCGUGGGACUACUGCCGCGGUGGUCUUGGCUUUUCGGGUGGGCGUCGGCAGGAGGACGCAGCUUUGCGCCAAAGUCCGGGAGGGCGCCCACAGCCGGGGUCCCAGGUAUAUAAUUCCUGUGACGACCAUUUGAGCCCGGGGUUACUGUUGUUCCAUUUUACCGUUGAGGACAACUGCUGAUUAGUGGAAAUGAUUCAUACCAGCACCUUUUGAGUCCAGAAUCUGUGCUUUUAACCACUGUGAUGUGGGGUUGUGGAAAGAGACUCGGCGCCCUCCAAGGUCAACUCUCUCCUAUUUCAAAUCUCGCGCGCCCUUGGAACAGCCCGUUGGGGCGAGGCACACCUAGCCUCCUGGGAGGCCCUCUCAGGGCCUGCCUGAGUGGCGGCUUUCAUCUCCAAUGAAUGGCCUUCUUCAUGAGAGCUCCGCCCCACACAGUCUCAAGCCUGGGGAUUCCAUCAGGGCAGCCAUUCCCUCUGAAGUGGACCCUCCAAGGGGUUCUGCCCUAAGUCCCCAGGAAGACCGAGGAGUUUGGGGUCUUGAAGAAAGAGCAUCUUAAUUACCACCAAGAACCAAUCAGGAUCCUGGAAUCUGACCAAUCAGAUGAAUAACUCCUCCUUCUGAAGGCUUUGCCAGGAGGAGUAAACCCCACUCCUAGUCUCUGCCAACAUGGGGCAGGUGGGAUGUUUUGCUUCAGUUCUUACAACCAACCUGAUGAGUGACCCCUGAAUCCCUGGACUCACAGAAGAUCUUUCCCUGGAGGAUACACAUGACAGCCUUUGUGGGUGGGAGCUGGUAAUUGGUCAGCCAGUUCACAACUAAGGAGCAAUUAGUCACCAGCUAAUUGAUGCCCAAGACAGCUGAGGGGCUGGGAGGAGAACAAGGGACUGACAUUCAGAAAGGAGCCUCAGGUCUCUUUCUCGGGAAACAUUGAGAAAGGGCAAUGAGGAAUCCCCAGGAUAACAUUUGAAAACCUCUUCUAUGUCGUUGAAGGAGAUUAAAAUGAUCAGAAGCCCACCCCCCAGCUCCAAAGGGACGUGGUGCCCUUAAAAAGCAGGUGGGUUUAACUAGGUUAUGGUGGCUAGGUCUGGAAGAAAUGGCCUGAAAAGUAAGAGGUGGGACUGAGGAAGAGUCACCUUUUCCUACUUUUGGGGAAAAAAUACUUUUGGGUAUUAAGAAAGAUGGCAAAUACUAGAAACCUACCUGGAUUACCCUGAGCAAAGGGGGACUUUAUUGGAAAGCCAUCAGAAAUGGUAUCGAGAUUAUAAAAAUUUCACGGUAGAAAGAGGGGGGCCCUCAAACUCCUUGUGGUUUUAGUUCAUUCAAAAUUGUAUUCUGGUUUCCACACCUCCUCUGACCAGCCUGUUGCUUAGAACCUUGCAUUUGAAGCAUGGUCUGCAGACCAUUGUCUUCGGCAUCCCCUGGGAGCUUGUUGGAAAUGCAGUGUCUCAGGCCUCACCCCAGACCUACGGAAUUAGGAUUUGUAUUUUAAUAAGAUUCUCAGGGGAUUCAUGUACACAAUAUAGUUUGGGUUUAUGGCCACAAGAAUCAACUGGGUGAUGGGAGGAUGGUGUCACUUAAACCUAAAGGUUCCUAGACCUUCCAGGAGUGCUGCUGCUGCUUUGGUGGUCUCCAGCGGAUGGGUAUUUCCUAGGGUCCAAUAAAAUUGGCAAAUAA